GGGUGAUGACUGCCUGGCCGUCCGGUGGGUGGGCUUUGAUGCCGGUCUUCCUCCCUCCUCAGCUCCGACGCCACCAUGGAUCUCUUCAAGGCCACCGAAACAGAUCCAACUACUGUUGCUCUUUCCCAUCCUCCUCAUCUCAUCUGUCUUCUUGGCCUGGAACAACGAAAGCGGCAGAGAACAGCUGAUGGUGGCGCUGCUAGAGUCCCUAGAGGCGACCUCUGAUCUGCUUUUAGUUGCCUGGUUGGUUCAAUGGCGAGACUGGGAGGGUUGAUAGACGUCAUUUUGGCUUCCUGAGAUCUGUAAAUGAAAAAUUGAAACACAUAUGCAAUAACAGUAGCCUUCUUCAGGGUAUAGAUCUGCAGUAUUUAUACCAUGCGUGGCGAUGAUGCCGAUGCUGUGGCCCGACCCGACCGGGCCUUUGGCUUUCACACAAAGAAUCGGAUCCGAGGGUGUGCAUGGGAUGGACUCCACGAUGGUUCUCACGGUCUCACGAGCCAGAACUUGCGGGCAUCACCUCUUUGCAUUUCUAUUUGUUUUU